rnacentral:rRNA from 1 species
UGAGGAAUAUUGCGCAAUGGGUGAAAGCCUGACGCAGCAACGCCGCGUGAACGAUGAAGGCCUUCGGGUUGUAAAGUUCUUUUGUUGAAGACGAAUAUCUUGAUUUAUCGAGACUGACGGUAUUCAGCGAAUAAGCCACGGCUAACUCUGUGCCAGCAGCCGCGGUGAUACAGAGGUGGCAAGCGUUGUCCGGAUUUACUGGGUGUAAAGGGUGCGUAGGCGGAUUGAUAAGUCGAGAGUUAAAGACCUUCGCUUAACGGAGGGAGUGCUCUCGAUACUGUUAGUCUCGAGUGCCGAAGAGGAAGAUGGAAUUUCCGGUGUAGCGGUGGAAUGUGUAGAGAUCGGAAAGAACACCAGUGGCGAAGGCAGUCUUCUGGUCGGUAACUGACGCUGAUGCACG